rfam:Danio rerio chromosome 4, GRCz11 reference primary assembly.
GCAUUGGUGGUUCACUGGUAGAAUUCUUGCCUGACACUCGGGAGACCCGGGUCCGAUUCCUGGCCAAUGCA